GAGAAGGACUAGGGUUAAGAUAAGUGUAUUUCUAGCUUCUCAAGAAACGAUAUGCUCUUCUUCUUCGUUCAAAUCGCGACGGCCCCAACCUCCCCUCCGUCUUGCUCUGUCUCAUCCUCAUCUUCUCAGAUCGAACGACGGCUCAAAUUCCUCAAACCUCCUUCUCUGGUCUACAAAUGAAGCGUCGCUGCUACUUUUUCUUCUCUCAUCACAUCUUCGUUCGAUUCGUCCUCAUCUCUAUCUACCGGCUCACUCAAACACCGUGCUUCAUCUCUCCGAUCGCGAUCUUCUUCUCAUUCGAUUUCAACUCAAAUUCACAUAUUCAAAAAAUAUCUAA